AGAGAAUAGAUACCCUGGUAGUCCCAGCUGUAAACGAUGCAGACUAGGUGUUUGGACGGCCACGUGCCGUUCUAGUGCCGCAGGGAAGCUGUUAAGUCUGCCGCCUGGGGAGUACGAUCGCAAGAUUGAAACUUAAAGGAAUUGGCGGGGGAGCACCACAAGGGGUGAAAGCUUGCGGUUUAAUUGGAGUCAACGCCGGAAAUCUCACCGGGAGCGACAGCAGUAUGAAAGCCAGAUUGAAGGUCUUGCUAGACGAGCUGAGAGGAGGUGCAUGGCCGUCGCCAGUUCGUGCCGUGAGGUGUCCUGUUAAGUCAGGCAACGAUCGAGACCCGCGUCCUCUGUUGCAACCAGCUUUGUGCUGGGCACACUGAGGAGACCGCCACUGAUAAAGUGGAGGAAGGAGCGGGCCACGGCAGGUCAGUAUGCCCCGAAUCUCCCGGGCCACACGCGAGCUGCAAUGGCAAGUACAAUGGGUUCCGACCUCGAAAGGGGGAGGCAAUCUCGAAAGCUUGCCGUAGUUGGAA
rnacentral:rRNA from 1 species